rnacentral:sRNA from 1 species
GCAUUCUAGACUUCGAGGUCGUGAACUGGAGUUUAUCUAGCGGUCGCGGGUUCAAAUCCCGUCGAGCCUUCAUUCUUUUGCCUUUUUUUUUUACUGGGUCGUACGUACGUAUUCUUCGUUCGUUCGAAAUUCUCUGUUUAUUUUACUUCUACCUUCUUACAUCCGACACACCAAUUGGCGCGAGUCCUAGAUAUGCUCUCGGUCCCCCCUUCACAGGCAACGGUCUAGUUUGGCUUGGGAGGCCAUCGUCAACAAUGACGGAAAUACGAUAUCUCUUAUCACGCCUUCGUCGUCAGUUGUCUGAGGAUGUCUUCCACUCGCAAACAACAUAUGUUGAAAAAAUUAAGGGAAGUCAUCAACAAUCAAUACAGCUUAUAAAGAUAUUAACCUCAUAACUUCGCAAUCGGUGACAUUCAUAUUAUUUACGUUUUCCAUCGUUUUAAGUCGUACGCCGUUAACUUUAUUGGCCUAUAUAUGGCAGCAGGUAGAUGACAUACUCAUCUUCAUGAAUCUUCGUCCUGCGACUCCCUGUUUGUUGGGAUAAAUCCUUUCUACACGUUCAAUUAGAACCCGCCUCAAACUUUACUGGGCAUCUACCGCAAUUAAAUCUGGGGAACACCCAAAUGGGGGCUAGUUUCUUUCUUAAGGAACACGGACCGAAGGGUCAUUUUACUCCUUCUACCAACAACAUCAAAGCUUACCUCAGCAGAGCAAGUACUACUGUCGAUGCUCAGAACAUCGCAUUGCGCGAUUGCAGGGUACUAAAUGAGCAUCUCGGAAUUCAACGUACGGCAAUGUAAGUAUAUCAUCAGCAAUGUGUCCCUGGGCAUCGUCAAACCUGUGACGCAGAUUGCACACCCAACCACCGUCCAUUGGCAAUAGCGCUCACAACGAUGGCUGCCUGUGGCUGAGCAUCAUAAGUUCAAAAAUGAGGAACAGGAGAAUAUAUGCAACGGCCCAUACCCUAUCUCACAUUAAUCUCUUUGCAGAUGGUGCCUCUGUAUGCCCGUCUAUAGCAAUCCUAACAACACCGAAAGGGGAACAGCAGCUUCACGACAGACGGCAUUCAACGCUAUCAUAUUGAGAGGCAAUAAUGGAGACGUUCUCAGAGAUACCGCAUUUCUAUAUUUUUUACAGCAGGUGCUUGGGGAAAAAGUUGCUAAUCUAAUGAUGAAAAGAGGUCGGUCAUGCGUUCAAGUUCGUGGACCAAGUCAGGGCCACAUAUAUCCUUGAUUGGAAAUGCGCACAACGGAGGAAGUUAUGAUGACAAGACAUAUUUUUGGUCCAGUCUGGUUCGGUACAAUGAGGUACCAGACUAUGCAUCUUAAUUAAGUUAUG